ensembl:lncRNA
GGCAGAUGGAGAUCUUGUGAUGCAGUUAUCCUGAUGCUUCCACACGCUCCUCCUCUUUCUGGGGUGUGGGAGUGGAAGCCUGCUGUGCUGGGAGCUGCUGGGUGAGGUGAGAGGAGCAGAGAUGCAGUGCUCUGGGACAAUCCAUCCUGCCGACGUGAAUCUGUACAUAUUGGUUUUACCAGCUUCGUGUGAUUUCCUGACACCACGUGAAAAACUGCAAAGGAAAAGUUGUGACAACUGCUGUGAAGUUUCUGGGGGAGGGCAGCUGGCUUUUCUCCUGCCGCUACCUGUUGCUCUGAAUGGAUUCGGUGAAAGGAAGCUUUGGGAUGGCAACACUGAAAUUCUAAGCCCUGCAAGAAGAGGCGACGUCACAGCACAGACAUUUGUGAGCAGCUGUGUUCAAGGGUGAAGCACAGGAAGAGUAACGUUUCAUCCAACAUCACUGAUGAACACCAUCAGACCUCACUGAGAGCUGCAGCCACUGCCGCCGAACCACACUGAUGUGUUAGCAAGGUCAAAUAUCCCACUGGUUUGAUGGCUUUGUUGCUCUCUUUUUUCUACUCUUAUAAUAAAAUAUUAAAAAUUAAAAUAA